rnacentral:lncRNA from 1 species
CUAUAAUUAUAUCUUCAUCAUAUGGCCUAGCUAAAAAGUAUACAAAAUAUUAUCAUAUAAAUAGAUGAAAUUUAUUUUUACAUUCUAAUAUCUAAUGUUUGAGAAAUCUGUUGGCAUAAUCAAUGUGAAAACUGGAAUAUUAGCCAUAUUUUCAUGUUUAGUUUCUUUUUUGUCUUGAGGCUGGUUUUGCUCAGCUUACAUGCCAUUGGCCUAUUGGUUUUUUCGUUAUGGUAUUAAUCACUUUACUUUCUGGCUGUUGCUUUCUUAGUAAUAAAAUUUAAGUAUACUUUGUUGUUGUUUUUACUUUCAACCUAAAACUAUUUAAAACGGGAGUGUAGUUUUAUAAAAAAAAAAAUAAAAUAAAUAUUCAUUCCAAGACAGGCAGGUGUGAAUGCCUGAUACUUAAUUAAGUUCUCAGUGCUCUAAUUAUUUUUCCUUCUUGCAAACUCACCUUUAAAAGUUUCCAAAAAUAACCAAACAGCCAGAGACCAAAGGCAUUAUUCCAGUUGAGGUAGCCACAGUUUUCAUUUUCUCUUGCCAACGAGUCAGGUGAAACACAAUGUUUACUUUUGUUUACUCUCUGAGCUACACAGGGUCCAGUUUGUAUGAUUUAUUGAUGCUGUGUAUAAAUCAAAUUGAUGAUGGAUUUCCAAGUAUUACUCAAUUGGAGGCGUGAUUUGUUCCAAUUAUAAAAGGGGGUUUCAGUCUUAUAACAUUACAUCUUUAAAAGAAUCUACUCCAUUAGUACCCUUCCCCACUUCAAAUGCUACAGGACAUGAAGCAGAAAUGUAGCUUUCAUUAGUCACCUAUAGCAUUUUCUUUCUUCCCUUCCCUUCCCUUCCCUCCCCUCCCCUCCCCUUCCCUCCCCUUCNNNNNNNNNNNNNNNNNNNNNNNNNNNNNNNNNN